GCACCAUUCCAAUAAAAAACAACAUUCUGAGGCUGAAAAAACAAAAGUGCCCUGAACGCCAGCCCUAAGUAAACAUCAGGGGAGAAGAGCAGCUCCGCAGGAAGGCCCCAUCCCGGCACUGGGACUGCAGCCCAUCCACGAAGAACUCCAGCAGGGCUAAGAGGACAGUGUGGAGGCCAGACACACCCGAGUGCAAACAGAAUGCAGAAGAGCUUGCAUUCCAGUCAGGAAGACAACAGUCCUCAGACGGGGCAAGGAUGGAAAGAGGACACUCUAGACGUUAAUGCUAAAAUGUUAAUAGCUAACAUUUAUUGCAGACUGUUUGUUUCCGGUGCUCUUCAAGCACUUUGCAUUCGUAAUGUUCACAACAGCUCUAUGAGGUAGGUGCUUUAGGAAGGAGGGAAUGGAGGCUCCGAGAGGUUAAGCUACUUGUCUGAGGUCUCCAGCUCGAGGCACUGCCUGGCACUCUCACCCGGAAGCCUGCGGGCUGGCCGGCCCCAGAGCCCGCCUCCUGCUCUGCACACUGACCACACUGGGCCUUCGGAGAGUCCUGAUGCAGAUUAGCAUGCUAGUGACUCUGAGAAGUCCAGCAGAAAAUAUUUAAAAAUGAAGUUGUUUCUAUUCUGUACUCCAGAGUUCGUCCAUUUAGUUGAUGAGUCAUGCUUUCUUUUAAGUGGGGUGAUCAGACUUCAGGACACAGAAGCAGGUGAGCCCGGGCCGCCGCAGGCUCUCUGCGCAGGCGCCUGGGAGAAGCGUCUCUUCCUGGCUCGGGGCGGGGUGUCUCUCUGCGCCCGGCUCCGCUCAAGUGUCCCGACUGGGAUCAGUCGCUAAGGCCGAUGGCAGGGCAGGAAAGAUCACUAGAUGCAGGCAGGGUCCGGGGGCAGAGGCCCCUGUACUGGGGCCAGUCUCAGUGAAUGACUUUUCCCCCGGUAUCCAGGAGUUUUAAAUUACAAGAGAUAGACAACUACAAUGAUUUAAGAAAAGAAAAUUAAAAGAUUUAAGAGAUAAAGUUGGCUCCAAAUCGCUUGGGUCCAGGGACUAAAACUCUGUGUGUCUCUCUUUCAUCUCUCUCUCUCUCCCUGAGCUUUGCCUUCCUGUGCUGGCUUCAUUCCUGGGUAACACUCUCCCGGGGUGACUGGCAGCAGCUCCAGGCUCCAUCAUCUUUACUGCCGACCCAGCAAUCUCCUUUCCUGUAGCUCCAGCCCAAG
rnacentral:lncRNA from 10 species